GGCCUACACAUGCAAGUCGAACGGUACAGGAAGCAGCUUGCUGCUUCGCUGACGAGUGGCGGACGGGUGAGUAAUGUCUGGGAAACUGCCUGAUGGAGGGGGAUAACUACUGGAAACGGUAGCUAAUACCGCAUAACGUCGCAAGACCAAAGAGGGGGACCUUCGGGCCUCUUGCCAUCGGAUGUGCCCAGAUGGGAUUAGCUAGUAGGUGGGGUAACGGCUCACCUAGGCGACGAUCCCUAGCUGGUCUGAGAGGAUGACCAGCCACACUGGAACUGAGACACGGUCCAGACUCCUACGGGAGGCAGCAGUGGGGAAUAUUGCACAAUGGGCGCAAGCCUGAUGCAGCCAUGCCGCGUGUAUGAAGAAGGCCUUCGGGUUGUAAAGUACUUUCAGCGGGGAGGAAGGCGUUGAGGUUAAUAACCUUGUCAAUUGACGUUACCCGCAGAAGAAGCACCGGCUAACUCCGUGCCAGCAGCCGCGGUAAUACGGAGGGUGCAAGCGUUAAUCGGAAUUACUGGGCGUAAAGCGCACGCAGGCGGUCUGUCAAGUCGGAUGUGAAAUCCCCGGGCUCAACCUGGGAACUGCAUUCGAAACUGGCAGGCUAGAGUCUUGUAGAGGGGGGUAGAAUUCCAGGUGUAGCGGUGAAAUGCGUAGAGAUCUGGAGGAAUACCGGUGGCGAAGGCGG
rnacentral:rRNA from 1 species